rnacentral:tRNA from 1 species
AUGAAGUAGUUUAAAAUAAAGCAUGGCUUUGAAGUUGCUAGGAUAGUAUGUUAUACUCGUAUGCAUA